rnacentral:rRNA from 1 species
GACGUAGGGGGCGAGCGUUGUCCGGAUUCAUUGGGCGUAAAGCGCGCGUAGGCGGCCCGGUAAGUCGGAUGUGAAAUCUCACGGCUCAACCGUGGAACUGCAUUCGAUACUGUCGGGCUAGAGGCAGGUAGGGGAGAUCGGAAUUCCCGGUGUAGCGGUGAAAUGCGCAGAUAUCGGGAGGAACACCGGUGGCGAAGGCGGCAUCCUGGACCGACACUGACGCUGAGGAGCGAAAGCCAGGGGAGCAAACGGG